rnacentral:rRNA from 1 species
UACGUAGGGUGCAAGCGUUGUCCGGAAUUAUUGGGCGUAAAGAGCUCGUAGGCGGUUCGUCGCGUCGGCUGUGAAAUCCCGAGGCUCAACCUCGGGUCUGCAGUCGAUACGGGCGGACUGGAGUUCGGCAGGGGAGACUGGAAUUCCUGGUGUAGCGGUGAAAUGCGCAGAUAUCAGGAGGAACACCGGUGGCGAAGGCGGGUCUCUGGGCAUUAACUGAUGCUGAGGAGCGAAAGCAUGGGGAGCGAACAGG